UUUGUAUAUGUACGAGUUAUGAUGCGAGUUACUCNUCGNAGUAUUGCUUGUACGUACUUGUGCAUUUAUUUGCAAAAUGUUGUCGGCGUGCACUUCUCCCCUAGUAGAACGUCGCGACCCGUUGGGUGUCGGUCUACGACCCGAGUNGGGAGCCUUNUGAUAUUUUNAUAAUAUUAAAGACCCUUGGUGUUUUCUGACCGGCUGC
rnacentral:rRNA from 1 species